rnacentral:rRNA from 1 species
CGUACCGUCCAAACGUUAUUCGGAAUUACUGGGCUUAAAGGGUACGUAGGCGGCGCUGUCAGUCGGGUGUGAAAUCCCACGGCUCAACCGUGGAACUGCGCCCGAUACUGCAGUGCUUGAGGGAGACAGAGGUAAGCGGAACUGAUGGUGGAGCGGUGAAAUGCGUUGAUAUCAUCAGGAACACCAGUGGCGAAAGCGGCUUACUGGGUCUCUUCUGACGCUGAGGUACGAAAGCUAGGGGAGCGAAGGGGAUUAGAUACCCCCGUAGUCCUAGCUGUAAACGUUGAGCACUUGAUCGUGGGCCCCCCCAUAGGCUCUCGGUCGUAGCGAAAGUGUUAAGUGCUCCGCCUGGGGAGUAUGGUCGCAAGGCUG